rnacentral:rRNA from 1 species
UACAGAGGGUGCGAGCGUUAAUCGGAAUUACUGGGCGUAAAGCGCACGUAGGUGGCGACGUAAGUCGGGUGUGAAAGCCCCGGGCUCAACCUGGGAAUUGCAUUCGAGACUGCAUUGCUGGAGUACGGAAGAGGAGGGCGGAAUUCCCGGUGUAGCGGUGAAAUGCGUAGAUAUCGGGAGGAACAUCAGUGGCGAAGGCGGCCCUCUGCUCCAGUACUGACACUCAAGUGCGAAAGCGUGGGGAGCAAACAGG